rnacentral:rRNA from 1 species
AGGCAGCAGUAGGGAAUCUUCCACAAUGGACGAAAGUCUGAUGGAGCAACGCCGCGUGAGCGAUGAAGGCCUUCGGGUCGUAAAGCUCUGUUGUUAGGGAAGAACAAGUACCGGAGUAACUGCCGGUACCUUGACGGUACCUAACCAGAAAGCCACGGCUAACUACGUGCCAGCAGCCGCGGUAAUACGUAGGUGGCAAGCGUUGUCCGGAAUUAUUGGGCGUAAAGCGCGCGCAGGCGGUCCUUUAAGUCUGAUGUGAAAGCCCACGGCUCAACCGUGGAGGGUCAUUGGAAACUGGGGGACUUGAGUGCAGAAGAGGAAAGCGGAAUUCCACGUGUAGCGGUGAAAUGCGUAGAGAUGUGGAGGAACACCAGUGGCGAAGGCGGCUUUCUGGUCUGUAACUGACGCUGAGGCGCGAAAGCGUGGGGAGCAAACAGGAUUAGAUACCCUGGUAGUCCACGCCGUAAACGAUGAGUGCUAAGUGUUAGGGGGUUUCCGCCCCUUAGUGCUGCAGCUAACGCAUUAAGCACUCCGCCUGGGGAGUACGGCCGCAAGGCUGAAACUUAAAGGAAUUGACGG